UACAGAGGGUGCAAGCGUUGUUCGGAAUUAUUGGGCGUAAAGGGAGUGUAGGCGGUUGGGAAAGUCUUCUGUGAAAUCUACGGGCUCAGCCUGUAACGUGCAGAGGAAACUACUCGGCUUGAGUGUCGGAGAGGAUGGGGGAAUACCCGGUGUAGAGGUGAAAUUCGUAGAGAUCGGGUGGAACACCAGUGGCGAAGGCGCCUGUCUGGCUGACAACUGACGCUGAGACUCGAAAGCAUGGGGAGCAAACAGG
rnacentral:rRNA from 1 species